GUGGUUGUUGGCAUGGCACACGGGCCUGUCACGCCGGGGGUCGCGGGUUCGAGUCCCGUCCACUCCGCCA
rnacentral:tRNA from 1 species